CUUGGUCAUUAUAGCAAAAGGGGUACACCUGUUCCCAUUCCGAACACAGAAGUUAAGUCUUUUAGCGCCUAUGGUACUGCUAGGGUUCCUUGGUGGGAGAGUCGGUCGUGGCCAAGA
rnacentral:rRNA from 1 species